UGGGGAAUCUUGGACAAUGGGCGCAAGCCUGAUCCAGCCAUGCCGCGUGAGUGAUGAAGGCCUUAGGGUUGUAAAGCUCUUUUGCCGGGGACGAUAAUGACGGUACCCGGAGAAUAAGUCCCGGCUAACUUCGUGCCAGCAGCCGCGGUAAUACGAAGGGGACUAGCGUUGUUCGGAAUCACUGGGCGUAAAGCGCACGUAGGCGGAUUUGUAAGUCAGGGGUGAAAUCCCGGGGCUCAACCUCGGAACUGCCUUUGAUACUGCGGAUCUCGAGUCCGAUAGAGGUGAGUGGAAUUCCUAGUGUAGAGGUGAAAUUCGUAGAUAUUAGGAAGAACACCGGUGGCGAAGGCGGCUCACUGGAUCGGUACUGACGCUGAGGUGCGAAAGCGUGGGGAGCAAACAGGAUUAGAUACCCGAGUAGUCCCUGAGCGGGCUGGCAAGGCGCAU
rnacentral:rRNA from 1 species